UACGUAGGGUGCGAGCGUUAAUCGGAAUUACUGGGCGUAAAGCGUGCGCAGGCGGUUCGCCAAGUCAGGUGUGAAAUCCCCGGGCUUAACCUGGGAAUUGCGCUUGAAACUAGCGGGCUUGAGUGUGGCAGAGGGGGGUGGAAUUCCACGUGUAGCAGUGAAAUGCGUAGAGAUGUGGAGGAACACCAAUGGCGAAGGCAGCCUUCUGGGCCAACACUGACGCUCAUGCACGAAAGCGUGGGGAGCAAACAGG
rnacentral:rRNA from 1 species